rnacentral:rRNA from 1 species
UAUGUGAUCGUCUCUCGCAUAUCAAUAAGCGGAGGAAAAGAAACUAACAAGGAUUCCCCUAGUAACGGCGAGUGAAGCGGGAAGAGCUCAAAUUUGAAAUCUUAAAGGGUUUCCCUUUACGAAUUGUAGUUUAAAGAAGUGUUUUCUGUUGAGGUUUUGGUAAAAGUUCUUUGGAAUAGGACAUCAUAGAGGGUGAGAAUCCCGUAUUUGACCUUUACUUUCAACGUUGUGAUACACUUUCAAAGAGUCGGAUUGUUUGGGAAUGCAGUCCAAAAUGGGUGGUAAAUUUCAUCUAAAGCUAAAUAUUGGCGAGAGACCGAUAGCGAACAAGUACCGUGAGGGAAAGAUGAAAAGAACUUUGAAAAGAGAGUUAAACAGUACGUGAAAUUGUCAAAAGGGAAGCGUUUGACACCAGUGUUGUUUUUCUGAAAAUCAAUUAAAGAACUGUUUAUGCUAAGCUGUUUAGACUUUAUCAGCUAUCUGUUUAGUUUUGAGCUUUUCUUUAAUGCACUUUUCAGUUAACAAGUCAACAUCAAUUUCUUUGCUGUAAAAAAGCUUGAGGAAGGUGGCUUGAGAUUCGUCUUAAGUGUUUAUAGCCUCUUGCCUAUGCAGUCGGAGAGAUUGAGGUCUGCAGCGUAGAUCCUUCGGGGCUAAAUGCAUUUGUGCUAAGUUAUAGCAUUUUAUAGACAACUUGUUGACUAUGAUUUGUCUUGUAGCUUACUCGCUUAUGUUAUUUUACCUACGCUUAGGAUGUUGAGCGCAUGUCUCUCUCU